GACUCCAGCCCCUCCUGGAACGGGUGCACGCGGCGCAGCUUCUCCGCAAAGCUGCUCCAUCGCACGAUGCAUCUAUGCAGCGCGGCGGCGUUGUCGGAGCAGGUUCCUGGCGUGGACCCUGAGGUACGCCGCCUCGUCCUCCGCGGGAGCUCGGCCCGUCAGCACCCCGAGGCCUCGGUAGGGCUCCCAGACUCGCCUCAGCGCAGAGGCCGUAUCCGGCACCAGCUCGGGCAGAUCUUCAGCUAAUUUCGGCCAGGAGACUCUCGAGCGUGUCUUGGUGGGAUCUGCCAAGAAAACGUCACCAGGAAGACAUCGUGGCAUCCUGAUCAGACUGACUGAGACACCUCACCUGGUUCCUCCCAGUCCGAAAGAGCGGAAGCAGCAGUGGCUGAGCCAGUCCCGGAUGACCGGGGUUCUCGCUGUCACUUGUAUUUGGGAUCUUCCGCCGCCGUGGAAAAAUGUAGCAAUUUAGGUACUGAAAUGAGUUCACAUCCAACAUAAGAAGACCACAGCAUGUGCUU